UUGAAUUUUCAAAAAUUCUUUCUUAGCAGAUGUCUACGUCAUAAUAACUAUCUGCAUGCCUUUCAGCCCGAUCCGUCCAGUAGUUUGAGCUGUCAGUUAAUAAAUCAAACAGUCAGUCAUUCAAUCACGUUUUCCUGUUAUACAU